UUACGGCCAUAUCACGCCGAAACACUGUUUCCCGUACGAUCGCCGAAGUUAAGCAACGUCGAGCCUGGUCAGUAUCUAGAUAGUCGACUGCUUGGGUAUACCAGGUGGUGUAA